rnacentral:rRNA from 1 species
UACGGAGGGUGCAAGCGUUAUCCGGAUUUACUGGGUUUAAAGGGUGCGUAGGUGGGUUGGUAAGUCAGUGGUGAAAUACUUUCGCUUAACGAAGGAACUGCCAUUGAUACUAUCAAUCUUGAAUGUAGUGGAGGUAGGCGGAAUGCGUCAUGUAGCGGUGAAAUGCUUAGAUAUGACGCGGAACACCAAUUGCGAAGGCAGCUUGCUACACUACUAUUGACACUGAGGCACGAAAGCGUGGGGAUCAAACAGG